rnacentral:tRNA from 1 species
CAAAAAGUAGCUUACAACUAAAGCAUUCGGCCUACAACCGAACGACAUUAAAAUAAUCUUUUUGA